UCAUUCUUUAAAUAAUUUGGUACAUCAAAAGAGUUUCAAAUAUUUAAAAACGAUUUUUUAUAUAAAAUGUUUGAUAAGUCAUAAUUUUUUUGUGGAUUUAAAAAAUGUUUGCAAUUUUGGAAACAAAUGUUUGGAAAUGCAAAAAUGUUCAUGUUUUUUUAAAGUUCGUGCAUUAAACAAUGGUGAUGAAAUUGAACAAAAUGUUCGCCGAAAUUUUAUCUGUGACGCAACAAAAUGUUGUCAAGGCCUUUGGAGAUUAUGAUUUUUUUCCCCCGUUGCAAUGCACGAGCCCUUUUGCUGGUAGACACUAAUGCAACUUCUCCUAUGACCAUUUUACUGGUCCUUAGCUGCUGCCCUUUUCCUUUUCAACAUCAUGUGCCACUUAUGCCACUAAUCACUCCACACUUCAUAAAGAUGCAUGUAUUUACUAUACUGUCCUCUUCCUUUUCCACAUCGUAUCACUUUUGCCACUGAUCCCUCCAAAGAUGCAUUGUAUAAUGUGUCUACUAAAAGAUCUCUUUCAAAUAUAAUAAUGUCUAUAGAAAUAUACAAUGCGAAAUGACUCACUGAGCAUUAGUCACCGAGUAUAAUUUUUGCAGGGAAUGUCCAAAAAGCAUCCGAGUCACCUUGAGAUUGAAAGUUGGAACUGUUGAAUCCUUUCUCCUUUACAAAUAUGAAUAUGCUUUAGUUUUUAACUGCAACUGAAGUACUUUGAAGUUCCUACUUCCUUUUCUCUAGAGAGAUGAACAACCUGAGAUGAAUAAUACUACCAGUAUACAUGACUUUCCAUUCGUGCCAUAAUAAUGUUCAAGUGCUGGAUUAUUCAAAUAAAUGCCAAUAUAUGCUUUGAGUGGAUGCAUCAUGCAUUCUAAUAAGUACACAAGCACCUUGUGACUGAUAUACCUAAUUUGUUGAAAUAUAUGCUCUGCUGGUAUGAUGUAACCAACUUGUUAGACCUAAAAAGAGUUUGAUGCCAUUUUUUAACCUUGAUUAAAGUGAGUGACUUGUGUGGUAUGUACAUAGUAAAGCAUACAUAAAAUAUAUUUUGCUUAAGUGGAUUAUGGGUCCUAUCUGAACUAACUUAUGACAGUGAGGGUUUGAUUAAUUAUCCUGAUGCUGAAUGUUUGACGUGUCUUGAUGGGCAAGUAGUGGUAUAUAAGCAAUCAUCUUUGAAGUUCUAACAAACGAUAGUAAUGGGCAACACAGCACCUUAUGCUGUUUCAUUUCUCUUAAGGUUUAUCUAUGGAGUUAUGCAUAUACUUACCAAAGCUGCUUUUAACCAAGGUACAAGUACAUACGUUCUUAAUUUCUACAGGCAUGCAAUAGCCACAAUGUUCUUACUGCCCAUUGCUUUUGCGAUUGAAAGGAAAACUGCCCCACAAAUGUCAUACAAAGUCUGUCUGAAGCUAUUUGUGCAUGCAUUAUAUGGGAUGUCUGCUCCUUUUAACAUAUCAUGUGUUGGCCUCAAAUAUGCUUCAGCAGCUUCUGCUUCUGCAGUAAUAAAUCUCCUGCCAGUUUUAACUUUUAUUUUGGCUCUUCUGUUGGGAAUGGAGUCUUUGCAAUUAAAGCGCUUCCAUGGGAUUAUGAAAGUUUCUGGUAUAGUGCUUUGUGCGGCUGGUGUUACUGUACUAACGCUAUACCAAGGACCGGAGCUCAAAUCUGUUGUCCAUUACCCUCUUUUUCACCACGCGAGUCAAGUUGAUACUCAUCCCUCAAGGAGCUGGAUAUUGGGAAUUCUCCUGCAGUCUCUUGCGACUGUAUUGUUUGCUCUUUGGACAGUGGUUCAGGGCCCAUUGCUGGAGGAGUAUCCAUCCAUACUGCUUAACACUAGCCUUCAGAUUGUCUUUGCGACUGUUCAAUCUUUUUUUAUGGCUCUAGUGAUGGAGGGAGACUUUUCAAGAUGGAAGCUGAGCUUGGAUGUAGGUCUUGUCGCUAUCGUCUAUUGUGGCGUAUUUGUUUCCGCAUUGGUAAAUUACCUGCAAAUCUGGGUAAUCGGCCGGUGCGGCCCAGUAUUCCUGUCCAUGACAGUACCCCUAACUUUGGUUAUCACGAUCAUUCUGUCGCUACUCAUAGGAGAACCGGUCAGCCUUGGAAGUGUAAUUAGUGGAGCGCUGAUGGUUGGUGGUCUGUACAAUGUUCUCUGGGGGAAGAGAAUAGAGCAAGUAGCUCUCUGCAAGCAAGGAGGUAGCAGAGAACAUGCAGCAUGCUUUGAUUUGGAGGAACAAGAAAGCGGCGCACCAGUUCCAUCAACGCAGGAUUCAAUCAAGCCAGUGCCUGAUUCGAACGACCCAAAUGAAACGAGGAAAGGAGAUUCUGACCGUUGCAAACGCGUGCUCUCGCGACUCCGUGGUGACGCGACUGGUGACCCCGAGAAAGGUGCUCCCUGGGGCGGUGUCCCCAUGUGGUGAUGGUGGGGAGGGUCUGCCGGAGCUGGGAUGGCCACCGGCGGGGAGACAUGUGGGACGGAGCCACGAGUUAGCCGUUUUUGGGCGCUGGCUAGUGUCUUGGACGGAGGAAGAUUUGCCGCCGGAUGUUGACCUGAGCCUGGCCGCCACAGGAGGGAGGCAGACGCCGCCUUGUCGUGCUGGUGUUGUGGCAGAUGCAACAACUAGGUGGUAUUUAGCAGGGAGUGCUACUCAUCAGAUCUCGAAGUCGGACGGGGUGCUGGCCACGAACGUUGGCAUGCUGUUGGCAGUGUCGGAAGAGUUGAGCCAAGGUGAUAUCUAGGGUAUUCGAUGGUGGCAGCUUUGGCUUCUGGUUGGUCUUACGGAUGCGGAUUCUUAGAACAUCUGCACCGGGGCCGCGUUAUCUCAGCGGUUGAAUUGUUGUGCUGUACCUCGAGAUGUUCGUCACAGAAUCCAGUUUUACGUACUCCUAUGAGGUAAUAGCACCCCAGAUACCCUAACUUGCACCCAACGUGAUGAUUUAGUACCAAAGUUGCAAAACUUGACCAAACCAUACCUCAACUUGCAGCCAAUGUGAUGAUUUAGUCCCAGGCCAAUCCGAGCUCGCCAAUUGGCUGCCAAGUGGCUGGACCGGUCAGCGCGCGCAGUUUUGCACAAAACCCCCUGCCGUUUCACUGAAUCAACCCGCAGUAUAGCACACCUGAAUUAAAUCUGUCGGAAUCGAGUUCACGUCCGGCCAAGAUCCAGCUCCACUCGUUCCCCAUCUGCCCCCUUGCCCCCUCAGCUCCAGCAUCAGCUUCUCCACGCCGCCAGCAAGCUCGCCGCCGCCGUCCAGCUCACCGCCGCCGUCCAGGUCGCCCCCAUGGUAUCUUGGAGUGAAGGAUCGAGCUCGUCGUCCGACGGCUACUCUGUGACAAGUGAGGCUCCUGCUCCUGCCACCGUUUUCUGCUCUGAGUGGACAGGCCUUGCUCCAGAUCUUGCAGCUAGAUGUGAACACCAGUGUGUGUGUGAGAAGUUUGUGUGCUUUGAAUCAGUUGAUAGUGGAAGGAGGUAUCUUGCUUGUGCACAAAAGGUCAGUAGAUGUACCA